rnacentral:misc_RNA from 1 species
GAUGAAGAACGUAGCGAAAUGCGAUACGUAAUGUGAAUUGCAGAAUUCAGUGAAUCAUCGAGUCUUUGAACGCACAUUGCGCCCCUUGGUAUUCCGGGGGGCAUGCCUGUCCGAGCGUCAUUGCUGCCCUCAAGCACGGCUUGUGUGUUGGGCCUCCGUCCUCCUCCCGGGGGACGGGCCCGAAAGGCAGCGGCGGCACCGCGUCCGGUCCUCGAGCGUAUGGGGCUUCGUCACCCGCUCUUGUAGGCCCGGCCGGCGCUUGCCGACACAUCAAUCUUUUUUCCAGGUUGACCUCGGAUCAGGUAGGGAUACCCGCUGAACUUAAGCAUAUCAAUAAGCGGAGGA